AACGCAUCUUGCGCUCCUUGGUAUUCUGAGGAGCAUGCCUGUUUGAGUGUCAUUAAGUUCUCAAUCACAUCAGUGUUGAUGUGGCUUGGAUAAUGGAGGUUUGCAGGUUUUAUUAAAGUCUGCUCCUCUGAAAUUUAUUAGUGGUAUCUGAGCAGAAGCUACUACAGAUGUGAUAAAUAUCUACGUCUCUGGCAACUGCAUUGACAGACUACACCGCUCCUAACAAUGUGUAUGAACACGUUUGACAUAUUUGACCUCAAAUCAGGUAGGACUACCCGCUGAACUUAA
rnacentral:misc_RNA from 1 species